CUCACCUCGAAGGUCUGCAGCUUCACUCCUGAAGUCAGCCAACCACAAACCCGCCAGAAGGAAGAAACUCCAGACACGUCCGAACAUGGGAAGGAACAAACUCUAGACACACCAUCUUUAAGAACUGUAACACUCACCACCAGGGUCCGCGGCUUCAUUCUUGAAGUCAGCGAGACCAAGAACCCACCAAUUCCGGACGCAAGCUGGUUAUUUUGAGAAACUCCAGACACAGGAGUAGCUCUGAAAACAAGGAUGAAGGUUGCCCUUUGGUAAGGGAAAUUUACAUCUAUGAAGAAAAUAUCUGGGGGGUGUCUCCUCUGCACCGGGAAGAGAGGGAUGACUAAACCACUAGAGGCUCUUAACGGAGAAAGAGAAAUGAUGGUAUUUCAGCCUGAAGUCUAAGACUAAGAUCUACUCUAGAGAUUUACUAAUUUCUCUGGAUUAUCACCAAUGUAUACAAGAGGUUUACAUGUUA
rnacentral:lncRNA from 1 species